GUAUUAAAAGAUGAAUUCUUCUCUUUAGAGUUCAAAGAACCAGUAUUUUUGGUGGAAGGAAUGGGCCAAGCCCAUGAACUUUCUGUGGACACCCCUCAAGUUGCAAAUGGUUUUAUCCCUUCCCUCCUGGUAGCCGGCGGGGCAGAAAGUAGGGUGGGGAGAGUGAGUCAUAGGCUCCAGCCUGCCGCCAAAGGGUUGGUCCGGGGCGAGGCCUGGACUCCUGGGACUGGAAGCUGGUUCUGAAAGGCCAGGGUCAGGUACUCUUCUGAGAAAUGAGGGUAAGGAUAGAGAGGCAUAAGGUGGUGAUGAAGAUUCAGUGUGGAAAUAUAAAGUGUUCUGGCAAAAAGAAGGCCCUCCGAAAGCACUGCCUGCUCUUCCCAGAAUGGAGGGAGAAAAAUGUUCCUGUACACGCACCCGGAGGCUCUUGCAGGAGGCGGCUGUUGGAGAAACGGGAAAACAAGCCAAGAAACAAGAGAGAGGAAAAAGACCACGCCUCGCCUGGCAGAUUCCUAAUGGCCCAGGAGACCCAGGCUUUACAGUGGGAGGCCGGUGGGGGCUGGCUCUGGUGGGAGGGAAGGGCAGGCCGAAGGACAGUCACUUGCUGACCGGUGACCUUGGGUGGGAUGCUGCCUGCUUCCCCCUGGUGAGAAUGGGAAGGAGGGGACAGGGGCAGAGCUGGCCGGCUGAGGUCACAGGAAGGCCCCUUCCAGCCUGAAAUGCGAUCUCGGGAUGUGGGGCCUGCCAACCUGCAGCGACCCUGGGCCAGCAGAGAUGAAAGGCUGCCUGUCCCCAGCUUCCGGACCCCUGAGGCCCCAGUGCCUCAAACUUGAAGGGCAGCAAAGCUGUUGCAGCUGGCUAGAGCCAGUUGCUGGGCUCCCCACCCCACCUGAUGUCGUCCAACUCUCCCUUCCCUGUUUUGCAGAGGACGCUCUGGCCCAGAGAAGGCUGGUGACCUGCCUGAGGUCACACAGCAAGUUGGAGGCCGAGCCAGGACUCAUCACCACAAAGUCUUUGGACUCAAAAUCCAGGCCUUGUAGCCUUUCCCAGAAACUUGGCUGACUGGGGGCUUACCCUGGGGAGUUGGAGAGACCCAAGGCUAGGGAGGAGAGUUGGGAGCUGUGUCUGUUUGAAGUCACGACUUAAUGUUGACUAAAGCGCCUUUUUUUUUUUUAAGACAAAAAGAACGUUCCAGGCCCCUGCCAUGAGCCUGGACUUGCUCUGCUGGCAGGGGAAGGAAUGCAGCUCUGGCCGCCACAGCUGCUGGUGGCCAGCUGCGGCCUCCACUCCCGCUGCUCCCGCCCCAGCAGGCAAAGGGACAAAGGCCUCUCUUCAGGCCUGUCCCCUCCAGCCCCCUGGAUCGGUGGGGGCAGAGCAUCACCCAGGAGGCUUGGUCACUGACCAGCUAAGUCUCUGUUCCUCUCUGGGCCUUAGUGCCCUUUCUGAAAAAUGGGAGCAGAAUAUCUGCCUGCCCUACUUCUCAGUGCUGUUUUCAGGCUCCAAAGGGGUAAAGUUACAGAAAUAUAGAGCUCUCAGCGCCUCCUUCUGCCUGGGGGUCUGCCUCCUUAUCAACCCUUCUGCCUCAAAUGCCCCUCCUCCCUCCUGCUUUCCCUGGCCAGCCCCAGCUCACUCAGCUCAGCGGGGCCAUCCCUCGCUCUGAGGAGUCUUCCCUCACCUGCAGACUGCCCUGCUCCUUCAGGGUGUUUAUCACUGUUGUAAUUAAAUAAUUAAUUGUGUAAUUGGAUCUGUCUCCCCACUAAAAUGUGAACUCUGUAGUAAUAACAGCUGACACUAAAUGCUUACCUGGUGCCAGAAACUUCACAUGUAUUCACCUGUUUAAUCGCUGUGGCCGGUACUGUUAGUUUCCCCAUCUUACAGAUGAGAAAACUGAGACGAUGAGAGGUUCAGGAACUCACCUGAAGUCACAGCAAUUUGGAGGCUGAGUCAGGACUCCGCACAAAGAAGUUGCAGAACCAGGAUUCAAAUCCAGACCCCAGGCUGUAACCACUACCCCACUAACGAGGCAGGUUCAGCUUGUCGCCCACCUAUCCCCAGCUGCCAGAACAUCUGGCAUACAGUAGGUGCUCCAUAUAUGUCCACCGAAUGAAUACAUAAACAGGGGAUGAACACACGUGAGCAUCUGGAGGAGAAUAAAGCACCCUCCAGGAAUGAGUUUUGCAGGUAUCAUGUGUGGAGCUGAGCCGCGGUGGGGUCGGGGGUGCCCAAUAUGUUGUUAAAGACAUUAUUGGGCUUCUUUCUGGAGCACAGAGGCCAAAAACCGGGACAUCCUUCUUCUCAGGAUGACUCCUCCUUCCACUUCAUCUGCCAGAGUCAAUCAGUGCCCAGGUUCUGCUUCUUGUCUCCCCAAGGCACCCCCUCUUAUCCGUCCCUCAACCCCUAUCUUUUUCUUGGGUUUUUGCAGCAACUUGUGCACAGGUGUCUGUCUCUAAUUUCUC
ensembl:lncRNA